GGAAUCGGGCCACGUUGCCCCUGGGGCGGGACACGGAUGCCAGAUGCCACGAGGGCUCAGGGACCACCCUCCUCCGCGGCCUCCCGGCUCCCCGUUCUGGAGCUUGGCUCUUCCCUCCGCGGGGGAGACAGUGGGGAGCCGGCUUGGCCGGCCCCCUCCACCCGAGGGACACGGGGGGCGUCACGUGGGCCUUUGAAGCUCCCCUCCGGCUGGAGGGUGAAGGUCCGGGCAAACUCCACCCUUCAGCGUUGAUUUAAAGUGAUGGGGAAGGUCGGGAAGGAGGCUGGAGAACGGAGUCAAUGGUAUUUUCCUGAGAGAAAUAAUUCAUGGGGCCCCGAGGACCCCGACUCAAGGCCAGGGGAGGAAUCCCAUCCUUCAUCUGCUGCACUUCCAGAGCUGGCCGCCCGCACGCCCCCGGACGCAGCCCCCAGACCCUUCCCACACGGCGGCCCUCUGCUGUCCUCGCUGUGCCCUCCACGUCCCCCAGGGCCUGGCAUCUGCCGGUCACGGCCACGGAGGUGGGCCGAGGCGUCCUCUGUCCUCAGCACCCCCAGGGCUGGUGGAUGGAGUGGCCACAGCAGCGCCGGGUGGGGGUGGGACACGGGGUGUCCGGCACAGAGCCGAGUGUGCGGGGCAGGGGUGGGGUUGCCUUGCAGGGCGCUGAGCAACAGGAAACGGGCCUUCAGCUGGGGGGCUGCUUGCCCCCACCCCAGGCACGGAGCCUUGAGAAGGCGCUGUUUGACACCCCUGCCCCUCCCUGGCUGGAGGCUGGAGGCUAGAGGCUUGGCAGGGAGACAGCCGGUGCCUCCUCGGGAGGUCUCUCUGCCCCAGGGCCAUUCGUCGCCUUGUGGGGGCUGUGAGACCCAGGAUACGGCAGGCAGAGCCCGCGAGGGGCGGCGCUGGGGGCUGGGCCAGCCGCCUUCUCAGUCCCCUGUGGCUGCCACGGGCCCUGCUUGGAGCCAGCAGGCCUGUGCUGAUGAGUUAUAGUUGCAGCAGGCCCGGCCUGUGGCCCACGGGACGCAUCCCAGACCCCCCAGCAGCUCCAGGGCCAGAGUCUCCCCGGGGCCGCAUCAUGCUGUCAUCCCAGCUCCACGUGCAUCGUUUAAGUAACCGACUGCAGAGCAGCCCCGCACCCUCCUGCCGACGCUCGCCACCCCCCCACUCCCCACCCCAGCCCCGCCGACACAAGCCUGCUUCCGUCUCUGCGGAUUUGCCUGCUCUGGACACUUCAUGGAAAUGGAGUCUGU